AACGGCCGCGGUACCCUAACCGUGCGAAGGUAGCAUAAUCACUUGUUCUUUAAAUAGGGACUCGUAUCAACGGCAUCACGAGGGCUAUACUGUCUCCUUUCUCCAAUCAGUGAAACUGAUCUUCCCGUGAAGAAGCGGGAAUUAUUAUAUAAGACGAGAAGACCCCAUGGAGCUUUAAACUCAAUAUAUAUUUCUACGCACUUAUAUCACUAUAGCCUAAGAAAAUUAUGUAUUAGUUUUAGGUUGGGGGGACCGCGGAGAAAAAAUUAACCUCCACGACAAAUAGGCCAACGCCUUUAUCUAUGAACCACAAUUCUAAGAAUCAAUAAACUGAUGUUUAAUGAUCCAAUUUUUUGAUCAACGAACCAAGUUACCCUGGGGAUAACAGCGCAAUCUACUUCAAGAGCUCCUAUCGACAAGUGGGUUUACGACCUCUAUGUUGGAUCAGGGUAUCCUAGUNAUGGUCUAGCUAGUCCCCCCAAGCAAAACGAAACUUUUAGUUUGUCACCCCGAAACUAAGCGAGCUACUUCAAAACAGCCCAAGGGGCCAACCCGUCUCUGUUGCAAAAGAGUGGGAAGAUUUUUAAGUAGAGGUGAAAAGCCUACCGAGCUUAGAGAUAGCUGGUUGUUCAGGAAAAGAGUUUUAGCUCUACCUUAAAUUUUUUAUGUGACUUAAACAUAACCCUAAAUUUAAGAGCUAUUCAAAUAAGGCACAGCUUAUUUGAAACAGGGUACAACCUCUAACACCGGGUAAAAGUGGGAGACCCUAACAAAGUGGGCCUAAAAGCAGCCACCUUCUAAAAAGCGUUAAAGCUUAACCAUUAUGUCUCCCCCCAAUUUCUAUAUACCUAUUUAACCCUUCACUACUACUGAACUAUUUUAUAUUUUUAUAAAAGCAAUUAUGCUAGAACUAGUAACAAGAAAAUGCCUUUCUCCAAAAUGUAAGCAUAAACCAAAAUGGACUUACCAUUGGUAAUUAACGUAAAUGUUUUAUUAUAGUAACAUUUAACCUAGAAAACCCUAUAAGCACCCACGUUAACCUUACACUAGCAUAUUACAGGAAAGAUUAAAAGAGAAGAGACUCGCAACC
rnacentral:rRNA from 1 species